GAUGAACGCUAGCUACAGGCUUAACACAUGCAAGUCGAGGGGCAGCGGGAGCUUAGCUUGCUAAGUUUGCCGGCGACCGGCGCACGGGUGAGUAACACGUAUCCAACCUGGCCCAUACUCGGGUAUAGCCUCUCGAAAGGGAGAUUAAUCCCCGAUGUUGUUGUUUCACCGCAUGGUGUAUCAACCAAAGAGAUUAGGUAUGGGAUGGGGAUGCGUUCCAUUAGGUAGUAGGCGGGGUAACGGCCCACCUAGCCGACGAUGGGUAGGGGUUCUGAGAGGAAGGUCCCCCACACUGGAACUGAGACACGGUCCAGACUCCUACGGGAGGCAGCAGUGAGGAAUAUUGGUCAAUGGCCGAGAGGCUGAACCAGCCAAGUAGCGUGAAGGAUGACUGCCCUAUGGGUUGUAAACUUCUUUUAUAUGGGAAUAAAGUGCUUUACGUGUAGAGUUUUGUAUGUACCAUAUGAAUAAGCAUCGGCUAAUUCCGUGCCAGCCGCCGCGGUAAGAC
rnacentral:rRNA from 1 species